rnacentral:rRNA from 1 species
AUUGAACGCUGGCGGCAGGCUUAACACAUGCAAGUCGAGCGGAGUGAUAGUGCUUGCACUAUCACUUAGCGGCGGACGGGUGAGUAAUGCUUAGGAAUCUGCCUAUUAGUGGGGGACAACAUCUCGAAAGGGAUGCUAAUACCGCAUACGUCCUACGGGAGAAAGCAGGGGAUCACUUGUGACCUUGCGCUAAUAGAUGAGCCUAAGUCGGAUUAGCUAGUUGGUGGGGUAAAGGCCUACCAAGGCGACGAUCUGUAGCGGGUCUGAGAGGAUGAUCCGCCACACUGGGAAUGAGACACGGCCCAGACUCCUACGGGAGGCAGCAGUGGGGAAUAUUGGACAAUGGGGGGAACCCUGAUCCAGCCAUGCCGCGUGUGUGAAGAAGGCCUUAUGGUUGUAAAGCACUUUAAGCGAGGAGGAGGCUCUUUUGGUUAAUACCCAAGAUGAGUGGACGUUACUCGCAGAAUAAGCACCGGCUAACUCUGUGCCAGCCGCCGCCGUAA